AUUGAACGCUGGCGGAAUGCUUUACACAUGCAAGUCGAACGGCAGCACGGACUUCGGUCUGGUGGCGAGUGGCGAACGGGUGAGUAAUGUAUCGGAACGUGCCCAGUCGUGGGGGAUAACGUAGUGAAAAUUACGCUAAUACCGCAUACGAUAUAUGGAUGAAAGCGGGGGAUCGCAAGACCUCGCGCGAUUGGAGCGGCCGAUCCCAGAUUAGGUAGUUGGUGGGGGAAAGGGCCACCAAGCCAACGGUCUGUCGCUGGUCUGAGAGGACGACCAGCGACGAUGGAACUGAGGCACGGUCCACACUCCUCCGGGAGGCAGCAGUGGGGAAGUUUGGAAAAUGGGCGAAAGCCUGAUCCAGCCAUUCCGCGUGCAGGAUGAAGGCCCUCGGGUUGUAAACUGCUUUUGUACAGAACGAAAAGGUUUCUACUAAUACUAGGAGCUCAUGACGGUACUGUAAGAAUAAGCACCGGCUAACUACGUGCCAGCCGCCGCCGUAA
rnacentral:rRNA from 1 species